UGCCUUCGGGAACUGUGAGACAGGUGCUGCAUGGCUGUCGUCAGCUCGUGUUGUGAAAUGUUGGGUUAAGUCCCGCAACGAGCGCAACCCUUAUCCUUGUUGCCAGCGUCGGCCGGGAACUCAAAGGAGACUGCCAGUGAUAAACUGGAGGAAGGUGGGGAUGACGUCAAGUCAUCAUGGCCCUUACGACCAGGGCUACACACGUGCUACAAUGGCGCAUACAAAGAGAAGCGACCUCGCGAGAGCAAGCGGACCUCAUAAAGUGCGUCGUAGUCCGGAUUGGAGUCUGCAACUCGACUCCAUGAAGUCGGAAUCGCUAGUAAUCGUGGAUCAGAAUGCCACGGUGAAUACGUUCCCGGGCCUU
rnacentral:rRNA from 1 species